GACGAACGCUGGCGGCAUGCCUAAUACAUGCAAGUCGAACGCAGUGGGGACGGGUGAGUAACACGUGGGUAACCUCCCAUCAGAGGGGAUAACACGUGGAAAAAGGUGCUAAACCGAUACGGAUUGAGGGACCCGCGGGGCAUUAGCUAGUUGGUGAGGUAACGGCUUACCAAGGCCACGAUGCCUAGCCGGCCUGAGAGGGUGACCAGCCACACUGGGACUGAGACACGGCCCAGACUCCUACGGGAGGCAGCAGUAGGGAAUAUUCGGCAAUGGACGAAAGUCUGAUCGAGCAAUGCCGCGUGAGUGAAGAAGGUUUUCGGAUCGUAAAACUCUGUUGUUAAAGAAGCGGUAUCUAACCAGAAAGCCACGGCUAACUACGUGCCAGCAGCCGCGGUAAUAC
rnacentral:rRNA from 1 species